rnacentral:rRNA from 1 species
UCCUACGGGGGGCAGCAGUGAGGAAUAUUGGUCAAUGGACGCGAUUCUGAACCAGCCAUGCCGCGUGCAGGAUGACGGCUCUAUGAGUUGUAAACUUCUUUUGUACGAGAGUAAACCCCGAUACGUGUAUCGGGCUGAAAGUAUCGUACGAAUAAGGAUCGGCUAACUCCGUGCCAGCAGCCGCGGUAAUACGGAGGAUCCGAGCGUUAUCCGGAUUUAUUGGGUUUAAAGGGUGCGUAGGCGGUCUGUUAAGUCAGCGGUGAAAUUGCGGGGCUCAACCCCGUAACUGCGUCGAA